CAGAUAGUCUAGCUAGCUGUCUGGAUUUACCUUGCAGAGAUCUGAGGAGUAGUUAACCAUAGUCCUUAGAAAUUGACCGGGGUUUAAAAUUCCAACACAAAGAAAGGGGACGGUGAUGGAUAUCCGGCUGAAAAGACUUAAACUUGACGGAAUUUCCAGCAGCACCUGAACAAUCCCGGAAG